UCUGAGAACCAGAUCCACAUUUUUCUCUUAUCAGCGGCUUGUCCCCUGCCCUCAACUUAAUGUUCAACUAAAGCAACUCAGACUCAUUUCACUCAUUUAAUAUGCUUUCCUUCUCUGAGGAAAGAAUUUGUAUAUUGAGCUGUGCUGAAUACAGAUUUUAUUUAGCUGUGUAUAGAUGUUUUAUAUUUAUAAACACAUGUAAUUACAGACUGUCUCCAGCCUAUCUGAAUUACCUACAAAUGGAUAUAGCAUUUGCCUGCAUAUCACCUUACAGUUUUAAAGAAAACUAUCCACAAGCAUUAACUAAGCACUUCCCAUUCAUUUACUCUCCAUUAUUUACUUCUUCCUAUGAAGACAUAUUAAGUUACAAUAUGAAAGACUCUGUGAAAGACAAGGAAAACUAAAGCCUAAAACCUAAGAGGGAUAAAUGCUCUGUUAGAAGUUCUGGAAUACUACUCAGCAAUGAAAAAGAAUGAAAUCUUGCCAUUUGCAACGACAUGGAUGGAAUGGGAGGGUAUUCUGCUAAGCGAAAUCGGUCAGAGAAAGAA